rnacentral:lncRNA from 7 species
GUUGCAGCUAAUCAAGUCAUGAUGGAAAGAGGAAUGUUCUGCAGGUACUGGAGCUCCAUGAUUUCUAUCAAAAGCUAAUUUAUGCAUCUGAGAGGGCAACGGCACUUUUCCCCUUCACAUGCCCCAUGCCUGUUCACGCAUGGUCUCCAUCCAGGGAGAAGGGGAUGAUCCCAAAGUGGUAGGGAACGCUUCUUGUUCCUCAUCUCUUUCUAAAUUUGAUGGGAGGGAUGAAGCCUGUGUGUGCACAAGUAAUCCACUUGUAGAUAUUUAACAAACAGAAUUUUAGUGCUCUACUACAUGUAGUUGUACUAGGAUGUUAAUGAACCAAAAAUGAGCAGAUAUUCAUUAGGCUGUGUCUAGCUCUCCUAAUAAGUCUUCCUGAGAAAUGCUGUGUACAUCUCUAAUACUGUAAGCUUUUCUCUCAGUUUCGUGCAAGACAAAGGUUGACUGUCUGUAAUGCAGUUUUGAAAAUGAAAGUAAACAAAAUAGAAAUGGAUGGCAGACAUUGAUUUGGAGGACUUAGUAGUCAGACUCAUAGCUUUUGUUCCAUCUGAGUCACCAAGAUGGCAAAUAAUAGACUUUGCCAUGAGCUUGGUGCAAAAUCUCUUGAAAUUGAUCAAAAGAUGCUCAAUGACUCCAAUAUUACACCUCAGCUAAGUACAAAAUCGAAGCAGUUCACCUUCAAAAUAAAGAAAGCAAAACCCAAACAAACUAGUUGGGUAUUAAUAUAGACAUUUUAACUUUUUGUGCAUUCAAUAUGAUUGGAUUCACUGUAAUUGUUUAGGACUUGCGUGGGUUUUUUUGAGAAGAAAUAAAUCUUAUAAGCGUAUAUAAAUGACAGUAAUUUUUGUAGCGUGUCUGACUUAAGACUUUAGCAAAUGUCAUUGUUUCUCUGCGGGUGAGAAGAAAACUCAAGCAUAAUUUUGCAUUAUUAUGUUUUCAUGAUUACUUCCUUGGCAAGCUGGAAUAAUGAAACCCCAGUUCCUAUGUGCAUUUAUGUAGUUGCAGAUUUCUCUAAUCUUACGCUUCUCACUUGUAAUUCGGAUUGCUCAGUCUGAUUUCAUGCUAGGUUAGACUUCCAACUUUCUAUAUUUUGUCACCAUUGAAAACAUUACUGUAAAUGACAUGGAGCCAGAUUUACCCUCUCAGAAUUCCAAAGUGACUUCAGUAAAUCACUGGAUUUAUUUUGGUGCCUAUGCAGGAACAGUUUAGCUUAUAAUAUAUGGUUUUCAGUUUUAGAGCUAUCAUAAUAGUAACUAAUCUACCUCGUGAGGAGGUAGAUUUAUUCUGAGUGGGUGAAAGGAUACUAGUACAGAAAAGAGCUUUUGGCUAACGUAUAAAUAGAGCUAGCCUAACAAUAUAACAGUAGCUCUGGAUUUCCAGAAAAAAAGACCAAGUUCCUCCAAUGCACUCAUUUAGUACUCAAACAUUCAUAUAAGGACAUCUUGCUUUGUUUUGAUAUCCUCAUACCAUUUUUUUUUUUUGUCUGUUUCAAGCAUUUUAUUCAAAAGUUUUGUGGACUUGUCAGAGACAGCCCCUUCUGAUCUUGACUUCUACAUUGUGUUUGGCACUUAGAAGUAUCAGUGUUGGGUUGGUUUGGGUCUUUUUUCAAACUGUGCAGUUGAAGGUAUGAUGGUGGCAUUCUGAAGGUUUGGAAAUGCUAUUUUGCAGUGUGGUGAAUCCACAGAAAUAAUUCCAGCACUCAGACGUUGAAUGUAUUAGUCUUUUUUAAUUAAUAUUAUUCUUUCUUUUUGAGAUAAAAGCAACAGUUAGAAAAUUGUCCUAGAUGUUACUCCUGGCGAAUACUAGAAACAUUGGACUUUGUGCUGCUUUCUAACAUAAGACUUUUUUUUAUUUUGAUGGUUUGAAGCUAAACUUCCUAAAACAAUACUUUUGGUACUUUGACACUCCUUAUUUAGCUGUAUGUGAUAUUUCUCCACCACCCUGGAGGUCUGUGAGAACAGGGAGCCCAAGUUCCCCAUGGACUUAACGUUCUUCCCCCUCGCUGAGAUGUUGUUUCUUGUUCUCUGAGCCUCUGCGAGGCUCUGUAAACCAUAUGGGACUCUGCUUGCACAGGUAGCGUGGAAAUGCUUAGUUUCAGGAACAUGAGAGUAAGAUCUUUGCAGCAUGGUGGGACUUGCAGCUGGUGGGCAUGGGCAGCCCUUUGGUCCAAGUCCUGAUGGCUCAGGACUGCCAUGGGGCGAGAAACUGUGCAGAACUGUGGGGUUGGAAAUGGACAAGGCAGGAAAGCCAGAGAGCAGCUGAGGUUUCCAGUGGAAACAUGUUGGUCAAAUUGGAUCCUUCACCAUUUGUUGUCUAAAUUAAUGUGCAUAUCCUCAUGAUAUUUAGUAGUGAUAAAUUGGUAUUUUCUCACAAAAACAUGUUUUACUAACAUUUCUGAGCAAUUGUCACUGAUUUAUAAAGAUCUCAGGCCUGCCCGCUCAGGAGACCAAGCAUGGAUUUAUGCUACAAAUGAGAUGAAUGGAAGCAUCUGAGCUGCUCAGCCCUCAGCACUCCAUCUCUCCCCUGCACCGCUGUUCCCAGAAGGCCAUCAGCCCUCAGGGCCUGUUGUGUGCUUGAAUGAACUGAUGGGAGCUGGAGGGAAUAGCUGGGAUCCAAGGAUUUGAACUAUAGUGGUUUUCUGGGUGAAGAUCAAGUGAAAUGUGGGACAGUAGGCUGAGGAACUGUCCUACUGUACAACCAGUUUGCAAUUCUGGUGGCAUUGUGCUUUCCAGCGUGAAACAAGGCUGUCGUUUGAUUAGAAAACUGCGCGUGUACCUGCAUAAAAAAUGCACAAAGGUACACAGAAUUCUUUUAGUGUGGUGCAGUAUCAUAUAUUGGAAGUGAUUUUUCCUAAGCAAAAAUGUUUUAAUGUGAUUACAGAACCAAUACGUGCACUUGCCUGUAGGGCUUGUAGGCAUCAGAGAAGCUCCUUUGGCUUCAGUGGGGUCUGAACGUGCAGGGAGCAGAGCUGUUAAAGAAGCGUGCAUCUCUCUUCUCUUGUAAGCUUUUGUGUCACAAG